rnacentral:rRNA from 1 species
AACGCGAAGAACCUUACCAGGUCUUGACAUCCCAUUGACCGCUAUAGAGAUAUAGUUUUCCUUCGGGACAAUGGUGACAGGUGGUGCAUGGUUGUCGUCAGCUCGUGUCGUGAGAUGUUGGGUUAAGUCCCGCAACGAGCGCAACCCUUAUCAUUAGUUGCUAACAUUUAGUUGAGGACUCUAAUGAGACUGCCAGUGAUAUACUGGAGGAAGGUGGGGAUGACGUCAAAUCAUCAUGCCCCUUAUGACCUGGGCUACACACGUGCUACAAUGGCCAGUACAAUAAGUUGCAAUACAGUGAUGUGGAGCUAAUCUUUUAAAGCUGGUCUCAGUUCGGAUUGUAGUCUGCAACUCGACUACAUGAAGUCGGAAUCGCUAGUAAUCCCGAAUCAGCAUGUCGGGGUGAAUACGUUCCCGGGCCUUGUACACACCGGAGUA